rnacentral:rRNA from 1 species
GAUGAACGCUGGCGGCGUGCCUAAUACAUGCAAGUCGAGCGAACGGACGAGAAGCUUGCUUCUCUGAUGUUAGCGGCGGACGGGUGAGUAACACGUGGAUAACCUACCUAUAAGACUGGGAUAACUUCGGGAAACCGGAGCUAAUACCGGAUAAUAUUUUGAACCGCAUGGUUCAAAAGUGAAAGACGGUCUUGCUGUCACUUAUAGAUGGAUCCGCGCUGCAUUAGCUAGUUGGUAAGGUAACGGCUUACCAAGGCAACGAUGCAUAGCCGACCUGAGAGGGUGAUCGGCCACACUGGAACUGAGACACGGUCCAGACUCCUACGGGAGGCAGCAGUAGGGAAUCUUCCGCAAUGGGCGAAAGCCUGACGGAGCAACGCCGCGUGAGUGAUGAAGGUCUUCGGAUCGUAAAACUCUGUUAUUAGGGAAGAACAUAUGUGUAAGUAACUGUGCACAUCUUGACGGUACCUAAUCAGAAAGCCACGGCUAACUACGUGCCAGCAGCCGCGGUAAUACGUAGGUGGCAAGCGUUAUCCGGAAUUACUGGGCGUAAAGCGCGCGUAGGCGGUUUUUUAAGUCUGAUGUGAAAGCCCACGGCUCAACCGUGGAGGGUCAUUGGAAACUGGAAAACUUGAGUGCAGAAGAGGAAAGUGGAAUUCCAUGUGUAGCGGUGAAAUGCGCAGAGAUAUGGAGGAACACCAGUGGCGAAGGCGACUUUCUGGUCUGUAACUGACGCUGAUGUGCGAAAGCGUGGGGAUCAGACAGGAUUAGAUACCCUGGUAGUCCACGCCGUAAACGAUGAGUGCUAAGUGUUAGGGGGUUUCCGCCCCUUAGUGCUGCAGCUAACGCAUUAAGCACUCCGCCUGGGGAGUACGACCGCAAGGUUGAAACUCAAAGGAAUUGACGGGGACCCGCACAAGCGGUGGAGCAUGUGGUUUAAUUCGAAGCAACGCGAAGAACCUUACCAAAUCUUGACAUCCUUUGACAACUCUAGAGAUAGAGCCUUCCCCUUCGGGGGACAAAGUGACAGGUGGUGCAUGGUUGUCGUCAGCUCGUGUCGUGAGAUGUUGGGUUAAGUCCCGCAACGAGCGCAACCCUUAAGCUUAGUUGCCAUCAUUAAGUUGGGCACUCUAAGUUGACUGCCGGUGACAAACCGGAGGAAGGUGGGGAUGACGUCAAAUCAUCAUGCCCCUUAUGAUUUGGGCUACACACGUGCUACAAUGGACAAUACAAAGGGCAGCGAAACCGCGAGGUCAAGCAAAUCCCAUAAAGUUGUUCUCAGUUCGGAUUGUAGUCUGCAACUCGACUACAUGAAGCUGGAAUCGCUAGUAAUCGUAGAUCAGUAUGCUACGGUGAAUACGUUCCCGGGUCU